AUUGGACGCUGGCGGCAGGCCUAACACAUGCAAGUCGAACGGUAACAGGAAGAAGCUUGCUUCUUUGCUGACGAGUGGCGGACGGGUGAGUAAUGUCUGGGAAACUGCCUGAUGGAGGGGGAUAACUACUGGAAACGGUAGCUAAUACCGCAUAAUGUCGCAAGACCAAAGAGGGGGACCUUCGGGCCUCUUGCCAUCGGAUGUGCCCAGAUGGGAUUAGCUAGUAGGUGGGGUAACGGCUCACCUAGGCGACGAUCCCUAGCUGGUCUGAGAGGAUGACCAGCCACACUGGAACUGAGACACGGUCCAGACUCCUACGGGAGGCAGCAGUGGGGAAUAUUGCACAAUGGGCGCAAGCCUGAUGCAGCUAUGCCGCGUGUAUGAAGAAGGCCUUCGGGUUGUAAAGUACUUUCAGCGGGGAGGAAGGGAGUAAAGUUAAUACCUUUGCUCAUUGACGUUACCCGCAGAAGAAGCACCGGCUAACUCCGUG
rnacentral:rRNA from 1 species